CACACAAUCCGCUCACACACACACACCAUCUACGAGAGACACACACAAUUCAAGACUACUGGAAAGCCGAAAGUCUGGGUAUUGGUGAGCGGGGAGACCGGAGGAGGGAGAGGGCUCCGCACUUAAGCUGACUCCGAACAAUGCGUCCUCUAACCAAGCAGCAGCAGAUUGGUGAGUGGCAGAUUUACAGACCAGCAAGAUUCAGCGAUAGAUUCGUCACUCUCCGAUCUCUUCCGACCGAACCCAGAAUGCUCUUUGGGAACAAUAUCAACAGAUGAACAGCAACCGGUGCAAAUGCCGUCUAAAUGUCUAUGAGUUGCAUUCGAACAUUCAAUACGGGAUAACUGCGAAUUCCAUUCUGUUCCUCUGCCAGACAAACUGUCUCGAGAAUGCUGACACCCUCAACAAAAUCCUUUCUAUUUACAA